rnacentral:rRNA from 1 species
AGGAUGAACGCUAGCUACAGGCUUAACACAUGCAAGUCGAGGGGCAGCAUGGUCUUAGCUUGCUAAGGCCGAUGGCGACCGGCGCACGGGUGAGUAACACGUAUCCAACCUGCCGUCUACUCUUGGACAGCCUUCUGAAAGGAAGAUUAAUACAAGAUGGCAUCAUGAGUCCACAUGUUCACAUGAUUAAAGGUAUUCCGGUAGACGAUGGGGAUGCGUUCCAUUAGAUAGUAGGCGGGGUAACGGCCCACCUAGUCUUCGAUGGAUAGGGGUUCUGAGAGGAAGGUCCCCCACAUUGGAACUGAGACACGGUCCAAACUCCUACGGGAGGCAGCAGUGAGGAAUAUUGGUCAAUGGGCGCAGGCCUGAACCAGCCAAGUAGCGUGAAGGAUGACUGCCCUAUGGGUUGUAAACUUCUUUUAUAAAGGAAUAAAGUCGGGUAUGCAUACCCGUUUGCAUGUACUUUAUGAAUAAGGAUCGGCUAACUCCGUGCCAGCAGCCGCGGUAAUACGGAGGAUCCGAGCGUUAUCCGGAUUUAUUGGGUUUAAAGGGAGCGUAGAUGGAUGUUUAAGUCAGUUGUGAAAGUUUGCGGCUCAACCGUAAAAUUGCAGUUGAUACUGGAUAUCUUGAGUGCAGUUGAGGCAGGCGGAAUUCGUGGUGUAGCGGUGAAAUGCUUAGAUAUCACGAAGAACUCCGAUUGCGAAGGCAGCCUGCUAAGCUGCAACUGACAUUGAGGCUCGAAAGUGUGGGUAUCAAACAGGAUUAGAUACCCUGGUAGUCCACACGGUAAACGAUGAAUACUCGCUGUUUGCGAUAUACGGCAAGCGGCCAAGCGAAAGCGUUAAGUAUUCCACCUGGGGAGUACGCCGGCAACGGUGAAACUCAAAGGAAUUGACGGGGGCCCGCACAAGCGGAGGAACAUGUGGUUUAAUUCGAUGAUACGCGAGGAACCUUACCCGGGCUUAAAUUGCAGAUGAAUUACGGUGAAAGCCGUAAGCCGCAAGGCAUCUGUGAAGGUGCUGCAUGGUUGUCGUCAGCUCGUGCCGUGAGGUGUCGGCUUAAGUGCCAUAACGAGCGCAACCCUUGUUGUCAGUUACUAACAGGUUCCGCUGAGGACUCUGACAAGACUGCCAUCGUAAGAUGUGAGGAAGGUGGGGAUGACGUCAAAUCAGCACGGCCCUUACGUCCGGGGCUACACACGUGUUACAAUGGGGGGUACAGAGGGCCGCUACCACGCGAGUGGAUGCCAAUCCCAAAAACCUCUCUCAGUUCGGACUGGAGUCUGCAACCCGACUCCACGAAGCUGGAUUCGCUAGUAAUCGCGCAUCAGCCACGGCGCGGUGAAUACGUUCCCGGGCCUUGUACACACCGCCCGUCAAGCCAUGGGAGCCGGGGGUACCUGAAGUGCGUAACCGCGAGGAGCGCCCUAGGGUAA